rnacentral:rRNA from 1 species
AUGAACGCUAGCUACAGGCUUAACACAUGCAAGUCGAGGGGCAGCAUGGUCUUAGCUUGCUAAGGCCGAUGGCGACCGGCGCACGGGUGAGUAACACGUAUCCAACCUGCCGUCUACUCUUGGACAGCCUUCUGAAAGGAAGAUUAAUACAAGAUGGCAUCAUGAGUCCGCAUGUUCACAUGAUUAAAGGUAUUCCGGUAGACGAUGGGGAUGCGUUCCAUUAGAUAGUAGGCGGGGUAACAGCCCACCUAGUCUUCGAUGGAUAGGGGUUCUGAGAGGAAGGUCCCCCACAUUGGAACUGAGACACGGUCCAAACUCCUACGGGAGGCAGCAGUGAGGAAUAUUGGUCAAUGGGCGAGAGCCUGAACCAGCCAAGUAGCGUGAAGGAUGACUGCCCUAUGGGUUGUAAACUUCUUUUGUAAAGGAAUAAAGUCGGGUAUGGAUACCCGUUUGCAUGUACUUUAUGAAUAAGGAUCGGCUAACUCCGUGCCAGCAGCCGCGGUAAUACGGAGGAUCCGAGCGUUAUCCGGAUUUAUUGGGUUUAAAGGGAGCGUAGAUGGAUGUUUAAGUCAGUUGUGAAAGUUUGCGGCUCAACCGUAAAAUUGCAGUUGAUACUGGAUAUCUUGAGUGCAGUUGAGGCAGGCGGAAUUCGUGGUGUAGCGGUGAAAUGCUUAGAUAUCACGAAGAACUCCGAUUGCGAAGGCAGCCUGCUAAGCUGCAACUGACAUUGAGGCUCGAAAGUGUGGGUAUCAAACAGGAUUAGAUACCCUGGUAGUCCACACGGUAAACGAUGAAUACUCGCUGUUUGCGAUAUACUGCAAGCGGCCAAGCGAAAGCGUUAAGUAUUCCACCUGGGGAGUACGCCGGCAACGGUGAAACUCAAAGGAAUUGACGGGGGCCCGCACAAGCGGAGAAACAUGUGGUUUAAUUCGAUGAUACGCGAGGAACCUUACCCGGGCUUAAAUUGCAGAUGAAUUACGGUGAAAGCCGUAAGCCGCAAGGCAUCUGUGAAGGUGCUGCAUGGUUGUCGUCAGCUCGUGCCGUGAGGUGUCGGCUUAAGUGCCAUAACGAGCGCAACCCUUGUUGUCAGUUACUAACAGGUUCCGCUGAGGACUCUGACAAGACUGCCAUCGUAAGAUGUGAGGAAGGUGGGGAUGACGUCAAAUCAGCACGGCCCUUACGUCCGGGGCUACACACGUGUUACAAUGGGGGGUACAGAGGGCCGCUACCACGCGAGUGGAUGCCAAUCCCCAAAACCUCUCUCAGUUCGGACUGGAGUCUGCAACCCGACUCCACGAAGCUGGAUUCGCUAGUAAUCGCGCAUCAGCCACGGCGCGGUGAAUACGUUCCCGGGCCUUGUACACACCGCCCGUCAAGCCAUGGGAGCCGGGGGUACCUGAAGUGCGUAACCGCGAGGAGCGCCCUAGGGUAAAACUGGUGACUGGGGCU